ensembl:snRNA U7 U7 small nuclear RNA
UAGUGUUACAGCUCUUUUAGAAUUUGUCUAGCAUGCUUUCCUGGUUUUGCCAGGAAGCCCCU